UUAAAAUGUUAAAACCAAGUGAUUGGCGUUUUUCCCGGUGUGUUCCCUGGCCGAGCUCACCUGGCCGCAGGUGCCCAGGGCACUUCCCGCCUCAGGUCCUCCUCCAGCAUCUCCUCCUGCCGGUCAAACUCGAGCUCCAGGCUCUGCAGGCUGGAGUCCAGCUGAGCGAACCGAGCCUCCAGGGACAGCAGCCUGCUUUCUACUCUGGGCGGUGGAAAACAACAGUAAGGGAAUUUCAGAAGGAUUUGGGGCUUUCUGCCGUGGCAUUGCAUUGUGAGCAGCUUCAGACCCCGUUCUGGGGGUCCUCCCAUGGUUUGUGAGAGCAAACAACACUAAAAGUCAAAGUUGGUUGUCACUUCUUUUUGGCUAUUUCCUGGUGCAAAGAUCCUGACAUCUCCAAAAACAGCUGCAAAAUUAGUAUGUAGAUAUAUCUGUGGCUCUCAACCAUAUGCAUUAGCAGUGUCAUAGGUUUUUCUGUAGCACAUUGUGAGGUGAUUUAUGCUUUUAUUUGUAAUGUCUUUUGAACCAUUUUCAUUUAACAUUGAGCAGAACUUACCAUUAAAAAUUAUGGUUAAAUUCUGGUUAAAAUUUGGUUAAAAUAUGGUUAAAUUCUGGUUAAAAAUUAUACAAAUAAUAAACAAGCCACCCGCAGUGGUUUUUUUAAUAGGACUGUCCUUCCAUGGAAUGACUGUGAUAAAAACUACUUCAUGGCUUGUAUUUAUUAACUGCUUUUUCAUUAUUUGGUAUCUGUUGUGGUUUCUCCUAUUUAAAACUGUAAAUUAUAAAGAUGAGGCUUUGAGCUGUAAGCCACUCCACUUUUGCUGAAGAAAACUGCCUGGUUUAAAAGAACUUGCUGUAUUGAGACAAGGUACAAGGGAAUGCCAGGAUUUAUUUUUGUACCAUUUCUCUCUUUCCUGGAGAUACAGGGUGUGCUGGGCUUCUUUCACUGUGGGUGGGUUUUAUAAACAUAGUUUUCUCCACAUUUUCCUGUUACCUGAUUGACAUCGAGGUGUGUUAUUGAGAAUCCUGAGGAUCUGAGAGCUAAUGUAAAUAAUUCAAAGUUCCUUCCUAAGUACUGAACAUCUCUGUUGACAGUACUAUGUAGUCAAUAGUGAUUUACUAGCAGAGCAUCAUCUCCUCCUUACAGAAUUUUUUGUGAUCUUUCUUUUUAUUUUACUGGCAAAACUUCAGGCUGUAUCAGCUAACAAUAAUUACACUAUCAGCAAAUAUUAUUACCUACAGAUUUUUCCUUCUUUCAUUCCUAGUUUGCUUCACUGCUUCUGUGACCUACCUACCUGUGUUAAACACUCUAUUACCUGUAUCUUUGGAUUAACUUUUUUUAAGGACAAAAUACACAGCAGCUGAUGAUGACAUUAAAAGAUAAAAAGCCAAAAAGAAAACCCUUCCAAUAUUUUUCCAUUCUUUGACAUGUAUCCCAUGGUAUUUUAAUGCCUGUCAUAAGAGAUGGACUAAAAUGCCAUUUUUUCCUAUCAGCAGCUCCUCCCUCUCCCUGCCUCCCCUUUCACCAAACCAAACCUUUCUUUGGAUUCUGUCUGCAGCUGACCUGAAUGAGGAGAAAAUAAAGACUUCAACAGUGGCAUAUUUUACUAAGUAUCCCCGACCUUAAUUCAUUGUCUGGCCGAUUGUGCAGAUCUUUGUCUAACGAUUUUCUGUUGUUUCCUGGGGCUAGAGGCUUCCUCUGCAGCCUGGUGAAGUUCCUCUUUCUGGUGUAGGACUCCUCUCGCUUCAGCAAGAAUUUUGGGACAAAAAUAGAACUUUAAUUGGAAAACUAAGCUGGUGACAUGUAGAAAUGUAGGGAGUUGAGAAGAGCUGGAAGGAUUGAUGUGUCAUAAUUGGAUUGAAUCUGUCAGCACAGAGAGAGCAAGAGCAGAAACUGAGGUGAGUUGGGGUUUGCUAUGAGUGACUUUCAGAGCUGGGCUGUCAGAUAAUAAUGAGUGUUCUGCCCGGUGAAUUGCUGGUUUGCAGCUUUUUAUCAUGGUAAAUAAGCUUCCUCACAGCCCAUUCUCCAACUUCCUCCUGUGCAAGUAAGAGUGAAGUUAUCUAAGAUCUCAUCACUAAUGCUACUCUCUGCAGCAGCAGUUCCUCAGCAGCCUUCAGUCCAAUGUUUUACUAUUUGACCAGUUUUGUCUCUCAAACAUUGUUUUUAUUGCCUGUCUGUAAAUUAAUCUUCUGUAUUUUUAAGCACCUCCAACAAACAUUUCAGCAUUUGCCAGUUUUGAAUCUAAAAAUGUCUGCUCAGUUAUACCACACUGAAUUCCCACAGCUGUAAGUGAAUUCUGAUAGACUGAGUGCUGCUGCCUCCUGAUCUAAGUUUGGAAUGAAAAGAGGAAGAAUGGAUUAAACCUCCUGUUUUCAUUUCCAUCAUGACCUCUGAACACUUUUCCCUUUAGUGUAAGUGAAGUUACCACUAAGUCAGUGACCUCUACCUCUGACUAGUGUACACACAAACCACAUCCCCAUUCUUUACCAGAAAGCUUUUCAAAUUCCUGUCAUUAGCGCACAGAACAUAAUUGGAAGCCAUGCAGUAGAAGCUCCAGCAUUCCCAAUUCUCUGCAAGUGUGGUUCUAUGUGAAACAUAAUUUCUGCUAUUCAGGCAUUUACAGAAAAUGACAUUUUGGAGCUGUCACUCUGUGGGUUUGAUUUUCCAGGCCAGUGCAUCAUCCCACACUUCUCCAAGCUCUCCCCAUUCCCUCACUCCAUGAUAUGUUAGACACACACUUCUCCAAGCAGUUUCCCACAGAAUUAAUUUUCAAUUUUUUUCUUUCAGGAGCUGUUUCACUGUUUCUCCCUCUGGUCAGGUCUCCAAUUGUUACUUUUGUGCUCACCAUUGUGUGAAUCAGAGUCACCCAGGCUGUGGGUGAACCAACAGUAUGAGCAAUAUCUCAGCAAGAGGAACAGUUUCUUUCCCAGUCUGGCAGCUGUCUGUCUGUCAACACAUAAUCAUUCAUUUCCUGAGCAGAAGUACUGCAUCCCAUCAGCUGGGAUACUCUUGACAGGGAUCCUUUUCACUGCAGACUCUGAGGCAUGGUCUGAAAAUCAGAAGUUCACCUCAAAUCUCCAAUUAGAACAGCAAGCCUGAAUUUCACAGAAACACAGAAUGUGCUGGGUUGGAAGAGAUCCAUAAGGAUCCAACUGCUGGCCCCCACAGCAAUCCCACCCUGUGCCUGAGAGCAUUGUCCAAAUGUUUCUUGAGCUUUGGCAGCUUUGGUGCUGUGAUAUUCCCUGGGAAGCCUCUUCAAAGCCUGACCAUGCUCUGGGAGAACAUUUUUCUAAUAUCCAACCUAAACCUCCGCUGACACAGCUUAAGGCCAUUCCCCCAGGUCCUGUCACUGGUCCCCACAGAGAUCAGUGUCUGUCUGUCUGUCCCUCCUCCUCCCUCAUGAAGAAGCUGUAAACCUCAAUGUCUCCCCUCAGCCUCCUCCAGGCUGAACAGCCCAAGUGCCCUCAUGCAGCUGCAGCCCAUGUGUGAUGGAGCAAGUGCCCAAAUCCUGCAGCAAACAGGCAGGAUGGCAGCCAGGGAAUGAACACCACCAUGGAGCCUCUGUCCCUCUUUCCUCCCCAGUGGGUGAAGGAGAGAUUGAGCCUGUUCAUGAGCUCCUCCCUCCCUGUUUACACCCCACCCUGCUGCCCAAGAAGUUUCCAGAGAAGCCCAGGUUACCCUGGUGGGGUGUCCCAUGUCCCAGCCCUCCCUGUCCCUCCCCAGCCCCCAGGACCUGGUCAGGGUCUCGUUCAGGGAGCGCAGGGAGAUGCUGCCUUUCGCCAUCGUCCUGGAGAGCACCCAGAGGAGGAAUAAAUCUGGAGUGGGCUCGCUCCUCUCUCCUGCAGCCGGCAGCAGGGACAGGGGAUCCGAGUCCUGCAGGAGGUUGUUUGUUCCAGGCUUUUUAUAGCCUGUAUAUCCAAAUAUAGGUCAUGGAUGCACCAACACACGUCCAUGGACAUGUGGACAUGGCACACACUGAACCACACAGCCCCUUCCUCUGCCCCACUCAUCCCAUGGCUUCACAGAUGAACUAAUUUACAGCUAACACAAAAGGGAGUAACCACAAUUUUCUGCUUUUUUUAUUUUAUUGCUGUGUUUUGGCUUCAAUUUGCUGUUGUGCCCACCAGAUCAUGUCUUGGGCCAAAGUCUCCUGCUGGGAAAGGCUGUACAAGCAGAUUGCCUUUGUUUUUUUUUUUUUAAUUAAAAA